CCCUUUGGCCUGGAAUAACACGAGGAAACUUGUGCUAAUACUGGAUAAGUCUUUACGGAGAAAGCUUUAUGCACCAUUGGAUGAGCCUGCACUUGAUUAGUUUGUUGGUGGGGUAAUGGCCUACCAAGACUGUGAUCAAUAGCUGAUUUGAGAGGAUGAUCAGCCACAUUGGGACUGAGACACGGCCCAAACUCCUACGGGAGGCAGCAGUGGGGAAUCUUGCACAAUGGAGGAAACUCUGAUGCAGCGAUGCCGCGUGAGUGAAGAAGGCCUUUGGGUUGUAAAGCUCUUUCGUCGGGGAAGAAAAUGACUGUACCCGAAUAAGAAGGUCCGGCUAACUUCGUGCCAGCAGCCGCGGUAAUACGAAGGGACCUAGCGUAGUUCGGAAUUACUGGGCUUAAAGAGUUCGUAGGUGGUUGAAAAAGUUGGUGGUGAAAUCCCAGAGCUUAACUCUGGAACUGCCAUCAAAACUUUUCAGCUAGAGUAUGAUAGAGGAAAGCAGAAUUUCUAGUGUAGAGGUGAAAUUCGUAGAUAUUAGAAAGAAUACCAAUUGCGAAGGCAGCUUUCUGGAUCAUUACUGACGCUGAGGAACGAAAGCAUGGGUAGCGAAGAGGAUUAGAUACCCUCGUAGUCCAUGCCGUAAACGAUGUGUGUUAGACGUUGGAAAUUUAUUUUCAGUGUCGCAGCGAAAGCGAUAAACACACCGCCUGGGGAGUACGACCGCAAGGUUAAAACUCAAAUGAAUUGACGGGGACCCGCACAAGUAGUGGAGCAUGUGGUUUAAUUCGAAGAUACGCGCAGAACCUUACCAACACUUGACAUGUUCGUCGCGACUUUAAGAGAUUAAAGUUUUCGGUUCGGCCGGACGAAACACAGGUGCUGCAUGGCUGUCGUCAGCUCGUGUCGUGAGAUGUUGGGUUAAGUCCCGCAACGAGCGCAACCCUCACUUUUAGUUGCCAUCAUUUAGUUGGGCACUCUGAA
rnacentral:rRNA from 1 species